rnacentral:rRNA from 1 species
CCUACGGGAGGCAGCAGUGGGGAAUAUUGGGCAAUGGGCGAAAGCCUGAUCCAGCAAUGCCGCGUGAGUGAUGAAGGCCUUAGGGUUGUAAAGCUCCUUUACCCGGGAUGAUAAUGACAGUACCGGGAGAAUAAGCUCCGGCUAACUCCGUGCCAGCAGCCGCGGUA